CGGGAAAAAGGAGCGUGAGCGGCGGGGCUCGGGCUUUGUCUCGGGUGGGCUUGGAGCCGGGGCCACGGACAUCGCUGGAACUGGAGCCCGCACUCCCGGAGGAGGGGCCGGCGUGGGCCGGGCUGAAGGGCGCCGCGCGCUGGCCCCGCUGCCGCAGGGGAGCGGCGGCCCGGCGGACUGCUGGAAGGUGGCUUUGUUUGGGUGGUUAAUUUCGGGCCCCUCUUGGGAGCCCUUAAUGAUCAGAAUAUCGAAUAAACAAGGAAAUCCGGUAUUUCACACCCAGCCCUGGCCCAGGCCGGGCGUCUGUGCGUUUCCUCUUCGCCUCCCCACGAGGCUGCUGUCUCAUAGCGGGAUAUUGGAAGGGAAAUUUUUUUCGCCCUCAUCUACCCCAGUCAGCUAGUUCUGUGCUCGGUCCUGCUAGCCAAGGCAGCACACCCUCCCAGAGCUCGUUCUGCAGAGAUCGGUUCUAAGACCACGGAAGGGCUGGAAUGGUGCUUUGGCCUAACGUGGAGAGUCAAUGGAAAGAAUCCUGCAGGGCCUGCCCCCAAAGGAGAUGGGGUGAGAGGAGGGGGGAUUAGGUAUAUUUGAGAGGCUACCUUUGAGAGGACAGGAGGGUGUGACACUGGCCCAUCCUCUGGCACUCAGGUGAAAUUGAACAGGGAAGGGUUGGGUAGAUUUUUCUGGGGGUUCCAUUCCUGACAGCUCUCAGAUGUGAAGUGAUCUGACAGAAAUUAGGCUGAGAGAGGACAUGGCUGGGUAGGUUCUGUUGGGAGGGGCACACAGAGGUACAGGGACAGGAAAUACUGCAAAGUUGAACCAUCUGUGUUCUUUGUGCUGGGUGGAGAUGCUUUACACCACACUGCCUCUCCCUGUUUUUAUUUGGGGGUUUUCUCUUUGAGAGGGUGUAUUAGGAGAGUACCAAUCUGGGACUUCACCAAGGCAGGGAGGUAGAGAGGCUUUGCCCCAGCUUUGUAUGAUAGGGGGAGUGGAGGGUCUACGGUGGGUCCCUGAGACAGGUCUCCAGAUCCCCUGGGUCAGAGAUGACCCAGAUUCCAGGGGUCCUGGGAAGUUGCUUCUAGACAGGGCCAGAAAUGAUAAUGGAUGAAGGCCCCACUUCCUGUCCCAGGGCAGAUGCCCCUAGCCACCUGGACAGUCCUCUGCAUCCUAGAGAGGAGGCAUUGAGGCUGAUCCCAGAUCUGAGGCUGAGGGAGAGAGAUUGAGGCCCUGCACCCUGUACCCCAGGAAGCAUUCAAAGCAUCACUUGAGUACAGCCUUCCUGGCUCGGAACAGCCUGAGACAAAGAGGAGCCCUGCAGGUGCCUGGUGGGCUGACUGGGGCGGGGCCAGGCUGUCGCUGGGGCUGACAUUGCAGCAGGAGCCCUUGGAGGUCGAGAGAGGGAGGUGCACGGGUGAGGAGUGGGAGUGAGAAAUGUAAAUAUGGCAUCUGCUGCAGAUGGGGAGAGUCCAGCGCCAUAAAAGGGAAAUGAAGCUGCAACCCCCAACCAGUGUGAACCAGGGCUGGGAAGGAAGGAGCUUGGGGUGCCCCUUCCAGGGGGGCUUUCCUUUAGACUCCAUCUUGCAGGAGAGAGUCAAACAAAGGCCCUCCACAUCUGUUCAGGGUCCCCAGCCUGGGCUGGGACAUGGUAAGAUGAGGGGUUUCCCGGGGAGCGGGGGGAGCCUUAGGGGACAGCACAUUAUGUCAAGGGUGAGAAGCUAGUGCUCCCUUCACAUUACCAGAAUAAUCCUGGGGCCCUGUCCACAGAGAAAGGAUUGUGCCUGCUCUCUGCAGCCAGUGCUUUAGGGUGAUCUUCCCAGUCAGACUGCCUAAGUGAAGUCCCCAUGCCUUGCCUUGAGUGGCUGAUCUGGAAGGAAACGUGUAAGGAAUCCUGCAUCAAAAGAGCCAGGGCUUUCAGGGGCUGCAGGAAGGUAAGGGCCCCGCCCACUCCUCUCUGCCAUGGGCUCUAGCUCUCCAGCUCAGCUUGAGCGCCCAGCCCGGCACACGCCAGACCUCAAUGGGCAGCCGGCCGUGGAAGGCAGACAAUGCCUGGACAGAACCCAGUUUCUAAUCAGAGAACUGAGGGUAGGACUGGGCCAAGGCUGGGCUGGGAGGGGGAGCAGAUGGUGCCAGUAACGAGCCAUAGGGGGAGUUCUCCUUGUUUGGGAUGUCCUAUCUCCUGCCCCCAGAAACCACUCAUGCCACCUAAAGGACUGGGUGUGGGGCUGCAGUCAAGUACUGCACUUAUGAGAAGGGUCAAGGAUUUGGAAUUGCCUAUACCUACUGCUUCCCCAGGGCUUACUGCCUCCUGCCAGGUUCAGCUAUCUUUCUGACUUCCUGGAACUCCUUUGUCCCUAACUGAAGCCUUUCUGAACUCCCAUGAGAUUAACUUGUGAACCAUGGAGUCCAGCUCUUGGGACAGGGAGGCCAGAAUUGAGACAGACUUGGGCUGAUGUGUGUGCUUGGGAAGAGAGGCCCAGGCUGUUCCACUAGGUGAAGUUCCAGGCCCUGGGCUCUUGGGCUCUAAUCUGGGAUGAGGAUCAAAGCUGGCCAUCUGCAAAGUGCUGCUGGGAAGGUCUGGGCUCCGGAAAAACUGGAGGAAAUUUGCAGGACCUGGGGCUUCAGGAUUAGGGGGAAAUGUCCAGGUGUAUGUAGGCUCUCAAAGCCCCACCCCAUUGCCUCCCCAGCUAGGUGGAGUCAGGCCCAUCUGCUCCUGGGGGGCUAGUCCGUUUUUUUACCAAGAGAUCCCAGGACAGUCCCCUCAGGCCUGCCCUUUGAUCCCUUUAUCCAUUAAUCCCCUUGUACUGUAAGGACUCUCAGCUUCCUGGGCUGGACUAGAACUGGCCUUUACCUGGGGGUGGGGGAGGAGGACAUGUAGCACAGCUAGAGAGAGGUGAGGCUGAGCUGUAACCUGCGCCAGCUGCAGAAAUACAGGCCUGACAAAUGUUAAGAGAUGCAAGUUGGCAAAGUUGAAAUUGGGGAAGGAAGCCAAGUCACAUGGUGAGUUUAUUUAAGACCCUUUCAAGCCCCCAGCUCUGAGCCCCCACCAUGAGGGGAGCCCAUAGUGUUGCCUAACCCCCUCCCGCUUAUCUCUGCCUAGCUUCCCUAAACUUCCUUCCUUUAGUGUGCAGGGGAGGGGGAGGUGCCUUGGCCAGUCCCACAUCCAUCCGUUGAGAAUACAGGGUUGAACAGGGUAGCGAGGGAAUUGAGGGGAGCCCCAGCUGGGGACCCAAGGGACAGUGUUAGAGUGGACCCCUGUCUUCUCCCAUUGGGCUUCUCUAGCUGCAAUUAUUUCCCUGGUUCCAGACUAGUCUGAAAUCUUGGUCCAUAGCUAUCUAAAUCUUCAAUCAAGAGCACUGUGGGAUUGGGAGAAUGAAGAAGACUGAACUAUGGGGGUGGGCAUGUGGGUGCCUUCAGGGUCCCAAAGCCAUUCAGAGCCAACUGAUGCCAACUGCAUCUCAUGCUUCCCAGUUUGCAGAAACUGAGGCCUGGACAGGAGCUCUGAGGGUUGUGUGGAGACCUGAGAGUCCUGGUGGUGGCCUCCUGCUGCAUUGACAGGGCUUACAUCAUCACAAGGAAGUGGAGUGUAGUAACCACAAGCCCCGGAAACCUCCCCUCCUCCACCACCCAGCCAGCAUGCUUGAUUGGUUCUCAGCUUUUGUAAACCUAAGGGUGGGGCUGGGGCUGAAAGGUAACUGAGGUGACACAUGCCUGACACCUUUACUCUUAUAGCUCGGGGAGCAAAGGGCAGGGCUGGACCAAUGCAAUGCAUCUGCUAAAUGGGUCAUGGGUCCUCUUUCUUGAUUGUCCUUCUGGGCCUCAGUUUUACUCACUGGGGAAUGGGGACACCUGGUUUGUUCUGAUUUUUUCAUUUAUGCAGAGCAGAGGUUUGAAUGAGGUAGAAGGCAUUUAAUUCUUGGAGGGAACAGAUACCUGCAGAGUCAAGUAUGAAUAAAAUGUUUAAAAAAUAAGCCCUAACUUAAGUAUACCUAAGAAGUAUCUCCCUAAUUUUAAGCCACAGUGAAUUAUUGGGUAAAGUGAUUCAAAGUGACUCCAUCUAUUUAUUUAUUCAGAGCAGAAAGCCUGCUGUGGUAGAAAGGAGAGUGAACUAGGAAGUGGCUUAGCACUAUGAUUUGUUGAACACUUACUUUGUGCCAGGCACUGUGCCUGCAUUAUCCUAUUACACCCACCAAGAAACUGAGGCUACUCUCCUUUUAUAGACGAGUGAACACAGCAGCAGAUGCAGGAGGCUGGAUCUGAACCCAGAGCACUCCUCUUUGCAAGCACGUAGCUCCUCAGACUGCUCUAAGCCACCUCCAGUCCAGCUGCUAAUUGGCUAAGUGUUCUGGUCUCUGUUUCGGUUUCUUCAAAUGCUUUACUUCUGUACACAGUUGCCCUGGAGGAGAAUGUGGGAGCAGUGCGCCGCGCUGUGCAGCUGUGUGGCAAGGGAUUUACCUUACAGGGUUACUUGGCAUAGGGCUGCCCAUCCCCACCGUGGCCCUAGUUCCUAAAUCCUUGUGGUUUCCUUUUGGUUUGGGGGAGUUCCUGCCUUCCCAUUCUCUUGGCACUCUCUAGAGGAGGAGGUUCUGGGGCUUCCAAGUCUUCUCCUGCUGCCACCCCACCUCCCUCAGCCAGAGGUGAGAACCCCAGGCUUCCUGGGCCUCUUGGCCUUUCAUUUUACCCUCUGGACAGUCUUGCAAUUGAGGACAUUAAGGAGGAAAGCAGUGUCCUCCUACCCCCGCUUAGAACAGCUGGAAGGAGCAGGGCUAAGACAGAUCCACGCCCCCCCCCAUCCUAUGGAGGGAGGAGAGGGGAGGCUGGGGCGGGGGCAGUGAAGCCCCAGGCUGGCAGCAGUGUGGACUGCAGUGUUCUCUGGAGGACUCCCCUUUUUACCUCCAGCUGCUCUGAAGCAUGGAAAGGUGGGCAUGCCAUGGUUCCUGUCCCCAGAUGCUUAAGUCCCUGUACCUAUAUGAUAGCAGGCCACUAUCAUAGCUGGUGGUGGAAGCUGCCUGUCAGUCCUUUCACAGGCUGGGCUGGGCUUACCUAGGUGGAAUGAAGGAGCACCAAGAGAACCUACUGCGCAGGCUGGCAGUGGGGGCAGGGCCAGGGCCAGCUUGGCUCCUGCCCUCCACAGCCAGCCCUCCACAGCCAGCCAGCCAGCCAGCCAGCCAGCCGCCUGUUGCUCUGCAUUCCUCAGCAGGGGAGCGUCCCCAGGGUCCAGUCCCCACUGAGCUGUCCCCCACCAGAUGCAGAUGUCAUCACAGCUCUGGGCUCUGGGCUAAGCCAAACUGCAGCAUCUCCUGUCUCCCAGGAGGUCAUGGGAAACCUCUGCCAGAUGCCCCAUGGUGGGGGUGGGUCUGCAAGAGCACAGCUGAGUGGCACUUCCCUGAGCUGGGCUUGCCCUUCCCAGGCCCCAGAGCCAGAGGAGUCAGUCCAUGGCUCAGGAAGCUCCUGGUGCUGCUCACAGCCGGGUCUGUGCAGCCAGCCUGCCAGCACAGGGCGGGCUGGGGGUACAUGCAGCUCAGGACAGGGACUGGCCCUUUCUCUCAGCCUCUGCAUCCCACUCCCUGCUGCUGACACCACAUCCUGUCUUCUCCUCUGUCCUCCCCAGUGCCUGGUUUCAGCCUCUCUGGGGAGUACUCCUGAUGGCCUAGAGGGUGAAGGGCAGGGAGACCCUCCCCAGAUGCCUCAUACCAUACACCCCUCCCGUUUGCCAGCCUUUCCCCAGCAUGAUUCAGGAGACUGUGGCCAGGACUCUGGGAUGAACUGAAAGGAUGGUCAAGCACAUCCCUGGGGCGGGGGUGGGGUGGGGCGGUGAGAGUUCUGAACCCUGUUUGUGGGGUUGACACCCCAACACUUCCUGUAGGUUUUCUUUGAGUAUUGCUACCUCUCCAUGCUCUCAAGACCCUGUUCAGGGGCAAAAGUCAGGCAGAAAGGAUUGACAGACCCCUUUCACUGGGCCCGCCAGGGCCUCAUAAACCCAUGCCCUUUGGCUCCACUAUACAAAACCUUCUUGUGAGGGUUCAGAGCGAGCCCCAGUCUUUUCCCUGAGGCCAGCUGCAGGAGGGCUGGGCUGGGGACAAGUCUGAGAGGCCAGGGAAGCUCUCUGGGGAAGGCAACAAGACCCUCAGGCUGUUACAGGGCUCUCUGGUGGCUCUGCUCCCACUUUCCCAGUUCAGCUAAAAGGGUCAGCACCCCAAAGUGGAUCUUGCCGCCCUGACUGACAGAAGCCUGGCCUCUGUGGGGAGGUGCCUUGUCUGGGCUCAGUCAGUUAAAUCCCCCCUGGUGUCUCGGAGCCAGACUCCCCAGAGAGAGCAGGGAUUUUGCUUCUAGCCGCCUUCCCCAGAACUGGCAGGCUGCCAGGGAGAGGAGGAGGAGGAGGAGGAGGAGGAGGAGAGGGUGCUCAGUAAAGGGGGGUGCGGACGUCUUCUUUCUGCUGCCGAGGAGCGCUGCUGCCUUGUUUUGGCAGGGAAGCAAGCUCCAUGCUUCCCAGGCCCCGGGCCGCAGCUUCCUUAAUGACAAAAUGGGGAAAUACUUUCCCAACAGGCCCCUCAUGGCACUGCUGGCAGCUGUUGGUGACAUCAGCCAGGGAGAUUCUCUGAGGGGAUCGGUUUUCUUCAGUCCAACCUCUCUCCUGCCCUGGUGCAGAGUUGCUUGGGGGAUGCAGCCAGACUGGGCAAGGGUAGGAUUCGUUGGAAUUUCAUCUCCACCAUUACAAAUUGUGUGACUCUUGGUUGUUAAAUCUCACCUUCCGCGCCUCCCUAAACAUAUCCCUUGCUUCCUAGGGUUGUCACGACACAGUACCUCCUCUCAUGUGCAUCAAUGAGCUGGGAACCCAGGUUUUCAACAAAUAGUAGAUAUUGUCCUUAUGGGAUGAGGCCUGGGAGGCAGAGGAUGCUGGAGGAAGAAGACUCCAGACUCCUCCAAGCUUCCCUGUUCAGUUUAACAAUCAUUGCAGGCAGGAAGUUCUUUUUGCUAGCUUAUCUAAAUCCCCCCUGCUGUAGCUAAGUUCCCCUUUGAUCUUGCCCUGUCACUGAUGAGGAAGAGCUGGCCCCUGGCAGGUUACAACAUGGCAAAGUGACCCGGUGUGCCAGCAAAUGAAAGAUCAUGGGGGAAAAAAAAAAAAGAAAGAUCAUGGGGUUCCUCUCUGUGUCCCUCCCCUACCUCUGCCCCCAAACACACAUACAUUUCCACCAUGGAGGAUGCAACACUUGACUGUCCCUCUGCCCCUGCCAUCCUGGUUGAAGCCAGGUGUGCUGAUUUGGGCCUGGACAUGAGGAGGGAAGCAGUAGAAUCUGGGCCAACUUUACUUUUCCCCUCAGGCUUUGGUGCUGCAUGCCCAGAAACUGACUAGCCUCUGGGGCUGCAUUUCAGGAUUCCAGGAAGGCAUUAGGGAUUCUGUUGGAGCAAAGAGCAGGUAUGCUCUUAGCCCCCUGAAGCUUUUUUUGAAGGAUCUAGUCAUGUUGGUUAUUUUGGUCAUUUAAGAGAUGAGUCUAGUCCAGGUUUCUCUUCUUCUGAAAGUCUGUGAGGUAGGGCCUAGGGAGGAGAGGGUGUCCCUCUGCCUGGAAGUCCUCAAGUCCAAAUUACACACAGGUGGGCAGCUGCAUGCAUGCUAGGUGUUUCAGGUACUCCUCUGGAUGGAAUCUUCAGGACUGAGGGCUAAUGAAGGUAAUCUUCAUAGAAGAUCUUGUUUCUUAUUAGCUCCGUGACCUUGAGCCAAGUUUUUGCCUCAUUUGUGAAUCA